rnacentral:rRNA from 1 species
GACGAACGCUGGCGGCGUGCCUAAUACAUGCAAGUCGAACGAGAGCGACCGGUGCUUGCACUGUUCAAUCUAGUGGCGAACGGGUGAGUAACGCGUGGGUCACCUGCUCAUCAGAGGGGGAUAACAUCCGGAAACGGAUGAUAAUACCGCAUAGGUCUUCGAACCGCAUGGUUCGAAGAAGCAUAGGAGCGCAAGCUUCUGAUGAAGGCUGGACCCGCGGCGCAUUAGCUAGUUGGUGAGGUAACGGCUCACCAAGGCCGUGAUGCAUAGCCGACCUGAGAGGGUGAUCGGCCACAUUGGGACUGAGACACGGCCCAAACUCCUACGGGAGGCAGCAGUAGGGAAUCUUCCGCAAUGGACGCAAGUCUGACGGAGCAACGCCGCGUGAGUGAAGAAGGUUUUCGGAUCGUAAAACUCUGUUGUUAGAGAAGAACAAGUGCUAGAGUAACUGUUAGCGCCUUGACGGUAUCUAACCAGAAAGCAACGGCUAACUACGUG